rnacentral:tRNA from 1 species
GGCGGAUGUAGCCAAGUGGUAGUGGAUUGUCAAGGC